AAAUAUAAGUUUUUUGUUUCCACGUGCCCGUGUUUCGUUUAUUAAAGAUUUAAUUUACAGGCUAACAGAGGAACUAUGCAGAGUUUUGCAUGGGAAACUUCGUGCCAUUCGCAAAGGCUAAGAGGGUUAGGCGAGGUGAGAUCCCCUGCCUGGGGGAUGCAAUAAGUGCAUUCAAUCUUGAGAAAACCUGCGAGCAGAGAC
rnacentral:lncRNA from 1 species